UAUAUGUUUGUGUCUCAUUGCCUCACUAGCCUGAAAAAUUUCAGGUCAUCUUAAUCUUGCCUCAAGUUAGGUCAAGUAACUUGACCCACGUGCUUAUCUUAAAAGAUUCAUAGAGGGGCAGCUGUCUUGCCAGGGCUGCUUCCUAUCAGCUUCUUCCAUCAGCAGCUCGUCCCUGCUUCUGUGUGGUAGGUAACACUGCUUCUUGAGAACUGUUAGGCCAUCUUUUCGGCUGAAUUUUGGGUUUACUCCAUUUUAGUAUUGUAGUUUUUUCUCCUCAGCCCUACUUUCCCUUCUCUUUAUCCUUUUUAGUCUUUUCUGAAGACUCUUAUAUAUUCCUUGGUCCUUCUCUGUUGUUAAGAACCUUAACUUUUUUUUAGUUAUUCCCCUCCCCCCACCGAUUCUAAAGGAGCAUAUGCUAAUGAUAGAAAAAUCAGAAAAAGC
rnacentral:lncRNA from 1 species